ACCCACAAUCACCCACCCUCAAGUAAAGCCCGUCAGUGCCUUCACAAAGUCUCUCCCUUGUUGUUCUCCUUGGGGUCACAAAUAGUCAUUGUUUGUACAAGCUCUUCUCAGUUCACCCUACCGAAGCAGCUUUGGAAUCCUGCUUUCAUCCUACAUCCCACCCAGGGAAUCACACUGACUGCCAUCAGCGUGGUCUUGAUGCUGAUGAGCUGCCUGUGCUUCACAAUGCAUAGCUGAUGCUUACACUAAGCUGGCUGCAGGCACCAGGAAUUAAGCACUGACUACAAAGCUCUGCACACAGUAG